UACGAAGGGUGCAAGCGUUACUCGGAAUUACUGGGCGUAAAGGGUUCGUAGGUGGCCAACUAAGUCAGACGUGAAAUCCCUCGGCUUAACCGGGGAACUGCGUCUGAUACUGGAUGGCUUGAGUUUGGGAGAGGGAUGCGGAAUUCCAGGUGUAGCGGUGAAAUGCGUAGAUAUCUGGAGGAACACCGGUGGCGAAGGCGGCAUCCUGGACCAAUACUGACACUGAGGAGCGAAAGCCAGGGGAGCAAACGGG
rnacentral:rRNA from 1 species